UACGGAGGUGGCAAGCGUUGUUCGGAAUUACUGGGCGUAAAGGGCGCGUAGGCGGCUUGGCAAGUCAGAUGUGAAAGCCCCGGGCUUAACCCGGGAAUUGCAUCUGAAACUGCUUUGCUUGAGUCCUGGAGGGGAUAGUGGAAUUCCCAGUGUAGCGGUGAAAUGCGUAGAUAUUGGGAGGAACACCUGCGGCGAAGGCGGCUAUCUGGACAGUGACUGACGCUGAUGCGCGAAAGCUAGGGGAGCGAACGGG
rnacentral:rRNA from 1 species